rnacentral:rRNA from 1 species
UACGAAGGGGGCUAGCGUUGUUCGGAAUUACUGGGCGUAAAGCGCGCGCAGGCGGUCUUCCAAGUCAGUGGUGAAAGCCUGGAGCUCAACUCCAGAACUGCCAUUGAAACUGUAGAGCUAGAGUAUCGGAGGGGAUAGCGGAAUUGCUAAUGUAGAGGUGAAAUUCGUAGAUAUUAGCAGGAACACCGGUGGCGAAGGCGGCGACCUGGUCCGAUACUGACGCUGAGGCGCGAAAGCGUGGGGAGCAAACAGG